GACGAACGCUGGCGGCAUGCCUAACACAUGCAAGUCGAACGAGACCGUCGGGUCUCCCUGCUCGAUUGUGCGUACUGCGGGGGAAACUGCGUGUGUAUCCGGAAUAUCUUCUCCACCGGGCUGCUAUUACCGGCUAAUGCACUCGGACCAAUGCUCUAUCGCCCUUGGGUGGGCUCGCGUUGGUUUAGCUCGUUGUUCGGGUAAUAGCCUACCAGGGCGCCGAUGCUUAGCUGGUCGGAGAGGAUGAUCCGCAACACUGGGACUGAGACGCGGCACAGACUCCUACGGGAGGCAGCAGUGGGGAAUAUUGGACAAGGGACGAAAGGCUGAUCCAGCAAUGCCGCGUGAGUGAAGAAGGUGUUAGGGUUGUAAAGCUCUUUUAGCCGGGAGGGUAAUGACGGUACCGGGAGAAUAAGCUCCGGCUAACUACGUG
rnacentral:rRNA from 1 species